ACAGACGAGUUUGAUCCUGGCUCAGAACGAACGCUGGCGGCAUGCCUAACACAUGCAAGUCGAACGAAUGGUUUCGGCCAUUAGUGGCGGACGGGUGAGGAAUGCAUCGGAAUCUGCCUCGUUGUGGGGGAUAACGUAGGGAAACUUACGCUAAUACCGCAUACGACCUACGGGUGAAAGUGGGGGACCUUCGGGCCUCACGCGAUGAGAUGAGCCGAUGCCGGAUUAGCUAGUUGGCGGGGUAAAGGCCCACCAAGGCGACGAUCCGUAGCUGGUCUGAGAGGAUGAUCAGCCACACUGGAACUGAGACGCGGUCCAGACUCCUACGGGAGGCAGCAGUGGGGAAUAUUGGACAAUGGGGGCAACCCUGAUCCAGCCAUGCCGCGUGUGUGAAGAAGGCCUUCGGGUUGUAAAGCACUUUUGUUGGGGAAGAAACCGGCCGGGUUAAUACCCUGGUUGAAUGACGGUACCCAAAGAAUAAGCACCGGCUAACUUCGUG
rnacentral:rRNA from 1 species